rnacentral:siRNA from 1 species
GGCAACAAAACCGAUCGCCGGAAA